GAGCCAAGUUAACCUUUCAGUUAACAGAGCCAACCAUAACUCGGGCGAUCAGACAGGCAUGCUCGAGGAUAUGAGGGGUCGUUCAAGCUUGGAUGAUGUAUCAAGCUUCUAGGUAAAUGAAGCUUGCAAACCUUAACUCUUUUUUGAAAGAAAACUAGGAGACAUAUCUGCUUCUGCCAUUGACUGACCCGUGUACUUGCACUUUCCGAUCACCGCAGAGACUUCUGGUAUUCAAGACACUCAGUCAUAAUGCUCUUUAUAU